AGUGAACGCUGGCGGUAGGCCUAACACAUGCAAGUCGAACGGCAGCACAGUAAGAGCUUGCUCUUACGGGUGGCGAGUGGCGGACGGGUGAGGAAUACAUCGGAAUCUACUUUUUCGUGGGGGAUAACGUAGGGAAACUUACGCUAAUACCGCAUACGACCUACGGGUGAAAGCAGGGGAUCUUCGGACCUUGCGCGAUUGAAUGAGCCGAUGUCGGAUUAGCUAGUUGGCGGGGUAAAGGCCCACCAAGGCGACGAUACGUAGCUGGUCUGAGAGGAUGAUCGGCCACACUGGAACUGAGACACGGUCCAGACUCCUACGGGAGGCAGCAGUGGGGAAUAUUGGACAAUGGGCGAAAGCCUGAUCCAGCCAUACCGCGUGGGUGAAGAAGGCCUUCGGGUUGUAAAGCCCUUUUGUUGGGAAAGAAAAGCAGCAGGUUAAUACCCCGCUGUUCUGACGGUACCCAAAGAAUAAGCACCGGCUAACUUCGUG
rnacentral:rRNA from 1 species